GACGAACGCUGGCGGCAGGCCUAACACAUGCAAGUCGAGCGAGACCUUCGGGUCUAGCGGCGGACGGGUUAGUAACGCGUGGGAACGUGCCCUUCUCUGCGGAAUAGCCACUGGAAACGGUGAGUAAUACCGCAUACGCCCUUCGGGGGAAAGAGUUUAUCGGAGAAGGAUCGGCCCGCGUUAGAUUAGAUAGUUGGUGGGGUAACGGCCUACCAAGUCUACGAUCUAUAGCUGGUUUUAGAGGAUGAUCAGCAACACUGGGACUGAGACACGGCCCAGACUCCUACGGGAGGCAGCAGUGGGGAAUCUUGGACAAUGGGCGCAAGCCUGAUCCAGCCAUGCCGCGUGAGUGAUGAAGGCCUUAGGGUCGUAAAGCUCUUUCGCCAGAGAUGAUAAUGACAGUAUCUGGUAAAGAAGUCCCGGCUAACUCCGUG
rnacentral:rRNA from 1 species